UACGGAGGGGGCUAGCGUUGUUCGGAAUUAUUGGGCGUAAAGCGCACGUAGGCGGCUACUCAAGUCAGAGGUGAAAGCCUGGAGCUCAACUCCAGAACUGCCUUUGAAACUAGGUGGCUUGAACACGGGAGAGGUGAGUGGAAUUCCGAGUGUAGAGGUGAAAUUCGUAGAUAUUCGGAAGAACACCAGUGGCGAAGGCGGCUCACUGGACCGUUGUUGACGCUGAGGUGCGAAAGCGUGGGGAGCAAACAGG
rnacentral:rRNA from 1 species